rnacentral:rRNA from 1 species
UACAGAGGAUGCAAGCAUUAUCCGAAAUGAUUGGGCGUAAAGCAUCUGUAGGUGGCUUUUUAAGUCCGUCGUCAAAUCCCAGGGCUCAACCCUGGACAGGCGGUGGAAACUACCAAGCUGGAGUACAGUAGGGGCAGGGGGAAUUUUUGGUGGAGCGGUGAAAUGCAUAGAGAUCGGAAAUAACACCAACGACGAAAGCACUCUACUGGGCCGACACUGACACUGAGAGACAAAAGCUAGGGGAGUGAAUGGG